GCCAAGUCGUGAGGCGGAGNUAAUCCCUUAAAGCCAUUCUCAGUUCGGAUUGUAGGCUGAAACUCGCCUACAUGAAGCUGGAGUUACUAGUAAUCGCAGAUCAGAAUGCUGCGGUGAAUGCGUUCCCGGGUCUUGUACACACCGCCCGUCACACCACGGAAGUUGGGGGCGCCCGAAGCCACUUAGCUAACCCUUUUGGGAAGCGAGUGUCGAAGGUGAAAUCAAUAACUGGGGUGAAGUCGUAACAAGGUACC
rnacentral:rRNA from 1 species